rnacentral:rRNA from 1 species
GGCGGAAUGUGUCAUGUAGCGGUGAAAUGCUUAGAUAUGACACAGAACACCGAUUGCGAAGGCAGCUCACUAAGUUAUUUAUUGACGCUGAGGGACGAAAGCGUGGGUAGCGAACAGGAUUAGAUACCCUGGUAGUCCACGCCGUAAACGAUGUAUACUCGUUGCUAGCGAUACACAGUUAGUGACCAAGCGAAAGUAUUAAGUAUACCACCUGGGGAGUACGAUCGCAAGAUUGAAACUCAAAGGAAUUGACGGGGGCCCGCACAAGCGGUGGAGCAUGUGGUUUAAUUCGAUGAUACGCGAGGAACCUUACCUGGGCUUAAAUGCAGAACG